CCUACGGGUGGCAGCAGUGAGGAAUAUUGGUCAAUGGCCGGAAGGCUGAACCAGCCAUGCCGCGUGAAGGUCAGUGCCCUAUGGGCGUUAAACUUCUUUUGUGCGGGAGCAAUAAUGGUCACGUGUGGCCCGACGAGAGUACCGUACGAAUAAGCAUCGGCUAACUCCGUGCCCGCAACCGCGGGAAGACGGGGGAUGCAAGCGUUGUCCGGAUUUAUUGGGUUUAAAGGGUUCGUAGGCUGGGAGGUAAGUCAGCGGUGAAAUGCCCCGGCUCAACGGGGUGAAGUGCCAUUGAUACUGCCUUGCUGGAAUGCGGAUGCCGUGGGAGGAAUGUGUGGUGUAGCGGUGAAAUGCAUAGAGAUCACACAGAACACCGAUUGCGAAGGCAUCUCACGAAUCCGCGAUUGACGCUGAUGCACGAAAGCGUGGGUAUCAAACAGGAUUAGAUACCCGAGUAGUC
rnacentral:rRNA from 1 species